AGGCCGGCAGGGCAGACCCUUUAAAGGAGCACUGCCCUGGAAGACCUGGGACAGAUCAUUAACAUCAGUAUGUGGAGCCAACAGAGAAGCAUGCAAUUUGAUCUUAUGUCAGUUCUCUGAGCCUCCACCAUAAUUGAAGGCUGGGAUUAAGCUGCUGGGACAGUGGAAGCAGUGAGGUGCAUGAACUGUUUUCAACUGAGUUGGAUCCCCAAUCAUGAAAUGUAACUGAGUCCUAGGUUAGGUCCAAACCAGCUGGGACAUGACCUAAAAUCACUCACAGAGCAGACCUGCUUCAAGAUCCAGGAACGAAGGAAAUAUCUUCUGCAGAGUAGGAAACAAAUUGGAUAUCCAUCCUCCCUCCCCCCAAUUUCAGGAGCAUUUCAUUUCUGCAGAAGACUGGACAGAUUUUGAUGUUACCACAUAAUAAAUGAAUCUAUCACACAGAUCAUCAGACUGGAUAGAAAUGGAUCAGUAUUUCAAGUGAAGCUUCUCAUAUUCCAUCAAAAUAGGUGAACAGAUUAAGAAAUUUCAGUUGUGGGAAAAGAAAAACUGUUACAAUGUUUUUAAUUUAAAAACUGUAUUUUUCAAACAUGA